rnacentral:rRNA from 1 species
CAGCAGCCGCGGUAAUACGUAGGUGGCAAGCGUUGUCCGGAAUUAUUGGGCGUAAAGCGCGCGCAGGCGGAUCAGUCAGUCUGUCUUAAAAGUUCGGGGCUUAACCCCGUGAGGGGAUGGAAACUGCUGAUCUAGAGUAUCGGAGAGGAAAGUGGAAUUCCUAGUGUAGCGGUGAAAUGCGUAGAUAUUAGGAAGAACACCAGUGGCGAAGGCGACUUUCUGGACGAAAACUGACGCUGAGGCGCGAAAGCCAGGGGAGCGAACGGGAUUAGAUACCCGCGUAGUCCCUGUCUCUUAUACA